rnacentral:rRNA from 1 species
AGUGAACGCUGGCGGUAUGCCUAAUACAUGCAAGUCGAACGACAGCACAGUAAGCUCUUUCUCUUACGGUUGGCGAGUGGCGGGUGGGUGACGAGUACAUCAGCAUCUACUUUUUCUUGGGGGAUUUCGUGGGACCACUUACGCUACUACCUCAUACGUCCUACGGGUUAAAUCAGUAGUUCUUCGUACCUUUCGCGUUUGUUUGAGACGAUGUCGGAUUAGCUAGUUGGCGAGGUAAGGGCCCACCAAGGCGACGAUGCGUAGCUGGUCUGAGAGGAUGAUCAGCCACACUGGAACUGAGACACGGUCCAGACUCCUACGGGAGGCAGCAGUAGGGAAUAUUGGACAAUGGGCGAAAGCCUGAUCCAGCAACACCGCGUGAGUGAAGAAGGCCUUCGGAUUGUAAAACCCUGUUAUUAGGGAAGAAAAAAAGUGGGUGAAAACCUCGAUGUUCUGACGGUACCUAAAGAGUAAGCAACGGCUAACUUCGUG